UUCAGGCACUCCGAGAUCCAGAAAUGGCAAAUUUAUUGAAGCCCAAAGUAACAAAACGUUUCGACCUUGCGAUCUUAGUCAAGCUUGACAAAGACCACAAGGUUGAAACAUUGUGUUACUUUGGGCUUCAAUAAAUUUACCAUUUCUGGAUCUUGGAGUGCCUGAA